rnacentral:rRNA from 1 species
UAUCGCUGAAAGAUGGCCUCGCGUCUGAUUAGAUAGUUGGCGGGGUAACGGCCCACCAAGUCGACGAUCAGUAGCCGGACUGAGAGGUUGACCGGCCACAUUGGGACUGAGAUACGGCCCAGACUCCUACGGGAGGCAGCAGUGGGGAAUAUUGGGCAAUGGGCGCAAGCCUGACCCAGCAACGCCGCGUGAAGGAAGAAGGCUUUCGGGUUGUAAGCUUCUUUUAAGUGGGAAGAGUAGAAGACGGUACCACUUGAAUAAGCCACGGCUAACUACGUGCCAGCAGCCGCGGUAAUACGUAGGUGGCAAGCUUGUCCGGAUUUACUGGGUGUAAAGGGCGUGCAGCCGGGCAUGCAAGUCAGAUGUGAAAUCUCAGGGCUUAACCCUGAAACUGCAUUUGAAACUGUAUGUCUUGAGUGCCGGAGAGGUAAUCGGAAUUCCUUGUGUAGCGGUGAAAUGCGUAGAUAUAAGGAAGAACACCAGUGGCGAAGGCGGAUUACUGGACGGUAACUGACGGUGAGGCGCGAAAGCGUGGGGAGCGAACAGGAUUAGAUACCCUGGUAGUCCACGCUGUAAACGAUGGAUACUAGGUGUGCGGGGACUGACCCCCUGCGUGCCGCAGUUAACACAAUAAGUAUCCCACCUGGGGAGUACGAUCGCAAGGUUGAAACUCAAAGGAAUUGACGGGGGCCCGCACAAGCGGUGGAUUAUGUGGUUUAAUUCGAAGCAACGCGAAGAACCUUACCAGGUCUUGACAUCCUGCUAACGAAGUAGAGAUACAUUAGGUGCCCUUCGGGGAAAGCAGAGACAGGUGGUGCAUGGUUGUCGUCAGCUCGUGUCGUGAGAUGUUGGGUUAAGUCCCGCAACGAGCGCAACCCCUAUUGUUAGUUGCUACGCAAUAGCACUCUAGCGAGACUGCCGUUGACAAAACGGAGGAAGGUGGGGACGACGUCAAAUCAUCAUGCCCCUUAUGACCUGGGCUACACACGUAAUACAAUGGCGGUCAACAAAGGGAUGCAAAGCCGCGAGGCAGAGCGGACCCCAAAAAGCCGUCCCAGUUCGGAUCGCAGGCUGCAACCCGCCUGCGUGAAGUCGGAAUCGCUAGUAAUCGUGGGUCAGCAUACCACGGUGAAUACGUUCCCGGGCCUUGUACACACCGCCCGUCACACCAUGAGAGUCGGGAACACCCGAAGCCGUAGCCUAACCGUAAGGAGGGCGCGGCCGAAGGUGGGUUCGAUAAUUGGGGUGAAGUCGUAACAAGGUA